GAUGCUCGCUGGUGUUUCAGCAGAGGCUCCUGCCAAGAAGCAGCCGCUGCCCUUGACAGAUCAUUGAGAGCUGAUGGCUGGAGGGCAGCGAUGAUGGAGGUGAAGUGAUGCAGCCUCAGACUCUGGUACCCAGGAAGAUGCAGCUUUGAUUGCAAGUGAAUCUGCAGGACUGUCUGCUGAAAACACGGCCCCAAAGGAGCCCUGUGGCUGCCCUUGGUCUCAGGUGGCACACACAGACGGGCACCUCCAGCAGCCUCAGUCCCAGCUCCUCACUCUGCCAUCCCAGUGCCUUUGCAUAAGGAGCAACCCAAAGCACUGGACCAGUCUCAAUAGUGGUGAUUAUUGAAACUUUGUGAGGGCCAUGGUUGGAAGAAGUGUCAAGAAGGCAGGUAUGUUUGCUGGGCUGUGGCUGGUGUGACCUCUAGCAUGCACCUCUAUAGAUCAAAUGAUUGAUCCUCCUCCACUGCAAUUCCUGGUGCUUUUCUUUAAAGACUUCAGGGCUUGUUAGAUCAUAGGACCAGCUUGGGUCCUGCUUGGUACAGUCUUCCCUCUGCAAGUUCAGAUUUCUUUUUUCCAGUGCAUCUUCUGAAUGAGGUGGUUAUGCUGUCCCAACUGUGGAUCCCUGUGAAAGUUGCACGUGCUCUAUAUUUUACCCAUUCCUUUGCAAGUUGGGUUUUUAGGGAGCAAAGCCUUUACCUGCCUGGCAGCUAUAGCCAAACAAAGCACAGGCACUGUUAGCAAUGCAGUCCUCUGUCUUCUGCCAGGGGUUGAGUCCCAGCUUUAUAUCCCAGGAUGCUCCCAGAUGCUGGAGUAGCAACCAUAGAAGUUGCUCUCAAAAGAAAAAACCAAACCAGCUUUGCUGUGGUUUCUGCUCUUUCUAAGAAAGGGUUAAUUUUCCUCCUCCUCAUCAUCAGCCCCCCAUAAAGAGCAGAACAUUUUGUAUCCUGCCCCUACUGACUUGUGGAAAUAAGAGAUACCCUAUUAGCAAUCCUUGUCCAAACACAGUGUUGGCCUGGUUAGUGCCAGCACUUUCCAUCCAGCACUAGUAUUUGUUUUUCCAUGCUCUUAAUCUUAGAAAUUGAAUCGAGUCUGAUAAAAGUGACUUCCUGAAUAUUGCAUAACAGUUUACGUCUGUCAGGAGGGAAGACAAACAGACCUGACCUUGAACUUGGAAAGUUUCCUCCCAGCAGGUAAGAGCUUCCAAAAGUCUGUGCUGGGGCUCCUGCUCUCCUUGCUGUCCAGGGACAGCAGCGAGGCUUCCCUGGCAGCAAUCCUCUCUGCAAAAAAAAAAAGCUUUGGAAAAUGCUUUGGAUCCUCCUCUGGGGACCUGAGAAUCCCCCGGAAAGAGCUGCAGCAGGAAGGCAGCUUUGUGUUCUUGCUCCGAAAAGAAGGCAGAGGAGAAAUCCUGUCCAUAUCUGGCAGGGUUUAGCCUCCAGGGAUUAAUUAAAGGCUUUUUCAGUUUUUCUUUCAAACCUCACAACAUUCAUCCCCGCCUCACUGAAUAGGAAAAAGGGAGAGGCAUUUUCUCUGGUGAAGCACCAGCCUGUUUCAAUUUUCAGUUUUACAUUGCAGUAAUAUGCUUUUCCUAAGGGAACACCACAGGAAGGGCAAACUUUGGCUUCUCACCAUUGGAGCAUUACAUCAUUAAUAUGAGCUGGAAAUCCGAGCAGCGGGCAAAACAAAUUCCCUAAACUUAAUUCCCUCUUUCCUUGGUGCUUCUGUCCCUCUUCCUUGCCCAGGGGUAAAGCAGGUGGAGGUGUUGGCAGAGCCAGGGGGGUGGGGAUCAGUGGACCAGGAGUGGGUGGUGAUGCUACAGGAGCAGGGAGGUGUCCUGCAUCCUCUGAGCUGCUGGGACUGGACACCGACAGAGCUCUGGGGCAGCAAAACUCUUUCUUCUGUGGCUCAGGCUUGUGGUGGUGGCUGCCAUGGGGGAAGGAGCCACCUGGCUCUGGGGGCUCCCUGUGAAACAUGGGGGGUCUUUUCCACAGGUUUCCCAGUACCAGAAAAGUGCAGGGCUUGGGAGACUGUCGUUUUUGGGCAGCAUCCUGAAAGAAGCACCACAGCUCCCAGCUCAGCCCACUCCAAGUGUGUGUGUGUGGUGCCCUGCAGACCCCCCGGCUGUGCCCUGCCUGCAGUGUUUGUUUUCUGACCCCAUUACUUAUUCCAGUUUGGAUUUCAGCUGCUUAGGCUUGAUUAUUUUAAACCCCCUCUAUCUGAUUAUCAUCAACCCAGCCAGGCCAGAUAUGAAGCUUCCUGGGGGAUCCCCAGCAGUGUUUCAGAAGGAUAAAUUGCCUCUCAUUCAUGCUUUUGGGAGUUUGGUCAGCCAAGAGAGGAGGGAGCUACGGGGAUAUUCCAAAGGGGGGGGAGGCAGCUCCCCCUGUAUUUCCUGUGCUACAGCCUCACAAAUAUCCGACUUUGCCGUGGGGUGGAGUUCCUUGCUGCCCUGGGCGUGUGGGGAAAUGUGUCCUGGCAAGCACCUCGGGAGGUGUCGGUGAUGGGCACACACUAACACACUGGCACGGAAGGAUGCUUCUGGAAGCAGAGCAGCUCAGGGACACACUGGCAUGGCCGGGUGCAGCAGAUUGGUACCCAAACCAGGCAGCCCUGUGCAACCUCCCCAGAGCUGCCUUGCUCUUGCUUUUCGGUUUUCUAUUGUUAUCCUAAAGCUGUCUUCCUCCUCCUCCCCCCCAGCCCUCAGCAGGAUGAGGAAGCCUCCAGCUGGCCUAGGAGGCUUAUCAGCUCUGUCUGGCUGGGUGUUAACAGUUUAUUUGCAUAAGUACCUGUCCCCGUCAUAUGCCGCUUGCCUUUGUGACUCACUGGAGUUGUUUAUUUUUCCUCCGGCAGCCAGGCUUGCGGCUGCUGCUCCCCGAGGGAUGCCAGGGCAGAUGCCACCACCCCCGGGCACUGCGGGAUGCCUGGCACGCUCAGGACAGGACUGCUCACCCUCCCUGGCUCACCCAAUCCUCCUGCCCUGCGGGACCAGCUUGGAAAUUAAAUGUGUAACUGGCCGGGUCCUGUUUUCUCCUGGCUGUCAAGAUAAAACGAAACUGAACCCCCCCAGCUGUCCCUGGCUGAGGAGAGCAAGGCUUCCCCUGGGACCACAGUCCCAGCUGCUGUUGCAGGGAAGGUGCCUCUGGCUGCAGGGCUGUGUGAUGUGAUUGAUGGGUAUCUGUCUCCUCACCACUGUUAGCACUCAUGGACUCACAGAAUGUCCUGAGUUGGAAGUGACCCACAUGGAUCACUGAGUCUGACUCCUGGCCCUGCACAGGACAACCCUAGAAAUCCCAGAGGGGGGUGUCCAAACAUUUCUUCAGCUCUCUUCAGGCUUGGUGCCAUGACUGCUUCCCUGAAGAGCCUCUUCCAGUGCCUGACCGCACCCUGGGUGAAGAACCUUUUCCUGAUAUCUUUAUUUUAAGGAGCUGAGAUCCUUAAAGCCUCUUCUGAACUCAGGUCUCUGCUCCAAAGGCAGAGUGACCUGCCAGACCAACCCUCCUGGCCAUGCUGGAGCACCCAGGGUGCAGCUCUGCCCCAAGUGCUGGUUGUGACCGCAGAGUCACCUCCUGGGGUAGGAGCCGAGCGAUCUUGUUUCUGCUCGUUUGCUCUGAAGGGUUUUUCCAUCCGUAGUAAGAAAGUCAUUAAUGUUAAACUUCCGCUGCCAGGUCCGAUUGAUUUGAAGAUUAUAACCACUCUGAAGGGGGUAUGUGCUGCAUAUACAAUGUGUUGAAGUCCUGGCAGGCAGGAAUUGUUGCUCCAAUGGUUGCCUGUGAUCCGUGGAGCCCAACAGAGAACGGCUCAGGCAAAUGUGGGGCUGCUCAGCAGCCUGGCAGGGCCAGCCAAGAGUGGCCAAAGGGCAAAGGUAAAUUCAAAUCAGCAGCUGGUGCAUCCUCUGCACAAGGGCUGUAAUCCUAUCCCAGGAGAUGACAGACUCAUGGUUUAACAAGUCUCCAUGCUGUUGUUGCUGUGAUAUUUUCCUAAUAUGGUUGGUGCACAUCCACGAGGUCCUUGGUGCUCGCAGGAGGGCAGUGCUCAGUGUGGGAUCCUCCCUGCAAGGAGCUACCAGGACUGAAGUAUUUUCUUCUGAAUGUGGCCCAGAAACCUGGGAGUUGUUGUGUGGUGUGUUCUGCUGGUGUGUUGUGCUUCCCCUCCGUGGCUGAUGGGCCAAUGAAUCAGUUGUGCACCCAGCCAGCCACUUCUGGUACGUAAAAGUUAUUUUAGACACGUUCCUGGUGUCCAUCAUAUCAUUCAUCAUAUACCAGUUGACAAUGUACCAGUUGAGCUGUGCCAGUUGUGUUUUGCUCCUCUGACUGGGAGACUGGAUGGAUGGAUGGAUGGGGGAAGCUUGGUGAGAAGAGCAAGGGAUUCGGCUCAGCACAUUCAGCCUCAGCUCUGACUGUGUGAUGUUACAGGGCAGGUCAAAGUGUGAGAGAAGUGAGUGUGGAAAGGCAGAUAACCAGCAAUUUGCUGUGAGUAUGGUCACUGAAGAGGAUCAGUGGACUUGGUUUGUCCAAAGAAAAAUGCAGAGAGAGAAAACAGAGGGAGAAGGAAGCAAACAGUGCAUCAUGUGAACCAAGAAGUGGCUAAAGGAGCAGAACCAGAGAAGGAUAAAUUCAUGGAAGCCAGGAGAGGGCUGCAGGAAUCUCAUUAUAAAUAUCAUAUUAAGUUGUGUAUCUCAAGAAGUCCCUGACUCUUCAUCUUUAUCUCUUUUCCUCAAGUGCAUGAACAGCUGACUUGUCCUUCUGGCUGCUCUCAGGUCUUUCUGAGCCAUCGUUGCCCAUCCCAUGUGCCUCCCUCUCUUCUGGCUGCACCCAGGCUGAGUUUGCUGCAAGGGAACACUGCUCAGGCGAUGGAGUAUCCAUGUCAGCCCCCCUACGGUUAAAACCAACCUUUUUGAUACCAAAUUUCCAGCUACUGAAGGUAAUUGAGACUGCAAACAAAAUCUCACUAUCCACUGAUCUGCCAAAUCAAAUUUCUUCUCCUGUUUGCAAAAAUAAGCACCGGUGAAUGAAGAUGAAAGGGAAAUGUUGCUGGUUUCUUCCCUGGAGAUCGUAUUUCUUACUUGUUGCAUAACUGCUUAUUUUAGCAUCAAUCAGCCGAGCCUUUGUUGUGCAGACAAUUCUGUCCUUUUAGAGGAUUUGUGCAGUAUUGUUUCUUCCAAAAUGCCUUUUUUUGUUGUUUUUGUUAUUAGAUUUAUUUCUUCUCUUAGCAAAUGCCAACUGACAACACCCCAUCAGAGCCCUUCAUAAGUGUUACAUAAAUGUCAUACUAUGUAAACUGAGUGUUGGAUGUAUCAUAUACAUGACUUUUCUUGGAGAACCAUCCACCAGGUGCUAUCUGAGUGUGUGUGUCACAUUUAUGUAUUUGUACACAAGCCGUGUUUAAGUGUGCAGGCAUGGUAGCCAAAAUUCUGUUAUGGAAAGUACUCAAAAUGCAGAAAUGUCUGAACUCUUCUUGUCAGUGCAAGAAGAGUUCUUCAUCUACCCCCUUUCGUUGAGGCAGAACAAGACUUUAAUUUCAUGUUCAGAUACUCUUUUCCUUCUGCAUCGCUGUGUGUGCAGUGAGAUGGGCAGCAAGGGGCUCAGUGAUGCCUAUUGUUCAGCACAUGAGCCUGGGCAGAGUACAUUAUUCAGCACAUUAUUCACAUGUCUGACCACUUUUGGAUUUCACAGCGAUAGAAAACACGGCUCAAAUACUUCUCGGUGCAGUUUUCAAAGCAGAGCCAGGUGCUGAUGUUCUGGAUGGCAAAAACGCAUUGAGGUUGUAUCUAGGCAUGCUGUGGACCUGCCCUGCCAUGCUGUGACCUUCCUUAGAGAUGUGGUCCAGAAAUCAUGGAGAAAUGACCUCAAAGGGUGGGAAGGCUGCAGUGUGCAGUACAGGACCAGAGCAGGGGGACCUGCAGGUUCCUCAAAAGACACAGUUAUUAAUGUCCUCAUGGUUCUUUCUGUAGCACUUUCCACUACACUGCCUCAGUGCUUCAGCACCUUCAUUAAUCCUCCCCAAACGCCCGUUUUGAAGAUGGGUCAGGGUGACACAUGGAUGGAUUAAGGUCAGUUUUGACUAAUUCAGGGUACUCCAUCUGAAAAGCAUAAUGUCUGCUUUUUCAGAGCAUUUAACAUGAUACAGCACUUCAUACAUGCAAGCACAGCACCCACUGCUUCCAGCUGCACGAAGAUGGAUGUCAGCAAUUCAGGCUAAAGGUUUCCAGCCACGCACCCGCAGUGUGGGCACUGCAGCCACCAGCAGCCAAAAGUUUGGGUUAAUGACUUUGUUGGCAUCAUACAGCCUGUGGCAAGGGCAUGGAGGGAAUCUGCUUCUUUGGGAGAGUUUUGUCCUAUUGUCACAGUCUCUCUGAGUCUCACAGCCCUUGCAUUGCUCCCUGGGCAGUUUAUGGUCCUGCAGAUAAGAUGAGAAUCUGACCAGUGUUUUCUUUUUGACUUACACAGCAGGUCCGGGGUGUGCAGGUGUUGUAAGGAAAUCAGACUGGGGCAGUGUAAUUAAGAACUGCAUUACACUAUGUGUGCAGAAUAAAAUUGGUAUGGAAUGCCUCA